rnacentral:rRNA from 1 species
UUGACCUCGGUCAGGAAGGAAUACCC